GACAGAGGUGCCGAGCGUUAGGCGGAAUUACUGGGCGUAAAGCGCACGUAGGCGGAUUGUUAAGUCGGGGGUGAAAUCCUGGAGCUCAACUCCAGAACUGCCUUCGAUACUGGCGAUCUCGAGUUCGGGAGAGGUGAGUGGAACUGCGAGUGUAGAGGUGAAAUUCGUAGAUAUUCGCAAGAACACCAGUGGCGAAGGCGGCUCACUGGCCCGAUACUGACGCUGAGGUGCGAAAGCGUGGGGAGCAAACAGG
rnacentral:rRNA from 1 species